UGAUCCCGAGGUACCUGGGAGAGAAACGGACGGACAACAGGUGAACUCUGUGAUCGCAACCGGUCAACGGAGGAAGGACCGCCAGCCGGGCACCACCGCCAAUCCUCACAACAGCGCUUCUAGACCUCAAGAAAUGAGAUCACCUGGAUCCUUCCAGAGGAAAGGCAUCGUGAGAAAAAAUAUGACAGUACCCUUAAAUGGCCAGCUAGACUCAAUCAGGAUCCUCCAAACAAGGUUCUCGGUCACCAGAAAUCAGCAAGCUAUCCCCAACAGAGCCCACCAGCUUCCACACUGGUUGACCUCUCGGGCUGCUGGCUUCCUCUCCAUCUCAGACCUCUAAGGAUUCCUCCUGCUUUCCUGGCAGCUCAGCCAGGCAAUUAAAAUGAUACAUAUUUUUUUAAUUUUA